rnacentral:rRNA from 1 species
UGGUGGAGCGAUUUGUCUGGUUAAUUCCGAUAACGAACGAGACCUCGACCUGCUAAAUAGGUUGGCGAUCCUUUCGGAUCGUACAGCACUUCUUAGAGGGACUAUCGCAUCGUAGGCGGUGGAAGUUCGAGGCAAUAACA